rnacentral:lncRNA from 1 species
GCAAGCUGCCAUGAUGUUAAAAGCUCUGUGGAGAAGCUCACGUGGCAAAGAGCUGAGAUACCUUGACAUCUUCCACAUGAAAUGAAUAGGGAGGUGGGACCUUCAGCCGCUGUCAAGUCUUCAGAUGACUGCACAACUAGCAGAGAUAUUAAUGGCAAUCUCACGAGAGAUGCUGAACAGAACUACCCAGCUAAGGAUCUCUGACCCACAAAUACUGCAGAAGAUGCCCAGUGGAGAGGUCAAGCAGAGUUGGAACAAUCGAACUGAUAUGGGAGGAUAAACAGAAGGGGGAGGUGGCUACCAGAAGCCACCCAUUGGAAAGUAAUAUGCCA